UGCUGCAACUGAGGGAAUUUGGAGUUUUGUUCUGAUACUGAUACUUCUGGGUUUUCAACCCUGUAUUUUUAUUAGGUUUAGACUUAAUGCAUCUAAGUUUUCUGUUCACAGCUUAACAAUUUUUGAUGAUGGGGUAGUUACAAGGAUGAUUUCCCAAUUGUUAAAUAAAUCCUUAAUCAACUUCUAUGCAACUCUAAUCUCACACUGAAGAGUUAGUAAUAUCCCGAUUUGACUUGUUUUCGUAUAAUAGGUUCCAG
rnacentral:misc_RNA from 1 species